rnacentral:rRNA from 1 species
AUUGAACGCUGGCGGCAUGCCUUACACAUGCAAGUCGAACGGCAGCACGGGUGCUUGCACCUGGUGGCGAGUGGCGAACGGGUGAGUAAUACAUCGGAACAUGUCCUUUAGUGGGGGAUAGCCCGGCGAAAGCCGGAUUACUCCCGCAUACGAUCUACGAAUGCAAGCGGGGGACCUUCCGCCCUCGCGCUGUAGGGUUGGUCGCUGUCUGGUUAGCUAGUUGGUGGGGUAAAGGCCCACCAAAGCGACGGUCAGUAGCUGGUCUGAGAGGACGACCAGCCACACUGGGACUGAGACACGGCCCAGACUCCUACGGGAGGCAGCAGUGGGGAAUUUUGGACAAUGGGCGCAAGCCUGAUCCAGCAAUGCCGCGUGCAGGAAGAAGGCCUUCGGGUUGUAAACUGCUGUUGUACGGAACGAAACGGCUCUGGUUAAUACCCGGGGCUAAUGACGGUACCGUAAGAAUAAGCACCGGCUAACUACGUG